CCUACGGGUGGCAGCAGUGGGGGAUAUUGCACAAUGGGGGAAACCCUGAUGCAGCGACGCCGCGUGGGUGAAGAAGCGCCUCGGCGCGUAAAGCCCUGUCAGCAGGGAAGAAAAUGACGGUACCUGAAGAAGAAGCCCCGGCUAACUACGUGCCAGCAGCCGCGGGAAUACGUAGGGGGCAAGCGUGAACCGGAUUUACUGGGGGGAAAGGGGGCGCGGACGGCGAGGCAAGCCAGGAGUGAAAGCCCGGGGCCCAACCCCGGGACAGCUCUUGGAACUGCGUGGCUAGAGUGCAGGAGGGGCAGGCGGAAUUCCAGGUGUAGCGGUGAAAUGCGUAGAUAUCAGGAGGAACACCGGCGGCGAAGGCGGCCUGCUGGACCGCGACUGACGUUGAGGCUCGAAAGCGUGGGGAGCGAACAGGAUUAGAUACCCGAGUAGUC
rnacentral:rRNA from 1 species